rfam:Schistosoma mansoni, Puerto Rico, WGS project CABG01000000 data, contig: 0013
AUCCAACUGACGAAUCCCAAAGAGAACGUAACGCGCGUCCUGGAU